rnacentral:rRNA from 1 species
CCUACGGGAGACAGCAGUGAGGAAUAUUGGUCAAUGGGCGCAAGCCUGAACCAGCCAAGCCGCGUGAAGGAUGACGGCCCUACGGGUUGUAAACUUCUUUUGUACGGGAAUAAAGUCAGGCACGUGUGCCUUUUUGUAUGUACUUUAUGAAUAAGGAUCGGCUAACUCCGUGCCAGCAGCCGCGGUAAUACGGAGGAUUCGAGCGUUAUCCGGAUUUAUUGGGUUUAAAGGGAGCGUAGACGGGUUGUUAAGUCAGUGGUGAAAUGUUGCGGCUCAACCGUAGAAUUGCAAUUGAUACUGGCAGCCUAGAGAGCAGUUGCGGUAGGCGGAAUUCGUGGUGUAGCGGUGAAAUGCGUAGAGAUCACGAAGAACACCGAUUGCGAAGGCAGCCUACUAAACUGCCACUGACGCUGAGGCACGAAAGCGUGGGUAGCGAACAGGAUUAGAUACCCUGGUAGUC